AAAAGUUUUAAUAAAAUUAUUCAGCCAUCUUAAUUAUUAUAAAAAUAAAAUAGCAUUGGCAAAGACAGCGAACGCGUAAAUCCAGAUUUGAACAUACCAGCAUGUGCGCAUUAAUUAGAAGCACAGUUAUUCUUUAUGAUGUCCGUAUGGGUACCUGAAUAAAUAUCGUUCAUCGUUACCUAGAACAAAUAUCAAGUAAAUAUCUUUUCUGAGAAAUGAUUUAAAGUGCCGAGAAAGAUUUUCAAGAAGCGAAUGAAUCCAAACAGAUGCAGAGUCAUGCACGAAUGCUGAGUCGAAAUCCGACGUUUCUGCAGAGCAGUUGCGAUCAUCAGAUGAGCUCUUGACUCCUCAUCCAAGUCAUUUACUGCCUGCAUCGGUUCAGAUUCAAUAAUGCUGAUGUCCUUGGGAGAAAACAGCAAAAAUAAAUGCAAACAUUGAACAUAUUCAAUCAAGGCAUCUGAGUCAAAAAAUGCUAUACAGAUUUUUUUAUUAUUUCUGAAUAAAAAGUUUUU